UUUGGCCUGGAUCAGCCCAAGGUCACGGUCGCUUCGCGCGUGGCCUGACCGCCGCUGGCGUGUUCCUGGCGGGUGGCUGAGA
rnacentral:tRNA from 1 species